rnacentral:rRNA from 1 species
AGAGUUUGAUCAUGGCUCAGAAUCAACGCUGGCGGCGCGCCUAACACAUGCAAGUCGAACGAGAAAGUGGAGCAAUCCAUGAGUACAGUGGCGUACGGGUGAGUAACACGUGGGUAAUCUACCUUUUAGUGAGGAAUAACCGAGGGAAACUUCGGCUAAUACCGCAUAAGCCUGAGAAGGGAAAGCAGAAAUGCGCUGAAAGAGGAGCCCGCGGCCGAUUAGCUAGUUGGUGAGGUAAGAGCCCACCAAGGCAGAGAUCGGUAGCCGGCCUGAGAGGGCACACGGCCACACUGGCACUGAAACACGGGCCAGACUCCUACGGGAGGCAGCAGUGGGGAAUCUUGCACAAUGGGGGCAACCCUGAUGCAGCGACGCCGCGUGAGCGAUGAAGCCCUUCGGGGUGUAAAGCUCUUUCGUCAGGGAAGAUAGUGACGGUACCUGGAGAAGCAGCUGCGGCUAACUACGUGCCAGCAGCCGCGGUAAUACGUAGGCAGCGAGCGUUGUUCGGAGUUACUGGGCGUAAAGGGUGUGUAGGCGGUUGUUUAAGUUUGGUGUGAAAUCUCCCGGCUCAACUGGGAGGGUGCGCCGAAUACUGAGCGACUAGAGUGCGGGAGAGGAAAGUGGAAUUCCUGGUGUAGCGGUGAAAUGCGUAGAUAUCAGGAGGAACACCGGUGGUGUAGACGGCUUUCUGGACCGUAACUGACGCUGAGACACGAAAGCGUGGGUAGCAAACAGGAUUAGAUACCCUAGUAGUCC